UAGUCCACGCCGUAAACGAUGAGAACUAGCCGUUGGGCCUAUUAAAAGGUUUAGUGGCGAAGCUAACGCGAUAAGUUCUCCGCCUGGGGAGUACGGCCGCAAGGUUAAAACUCAAAUGAAUUGACGGGGGCCCGCACAAGCGGUGGAGCAUGUGGUUUAAUUCGAUGCAACGCGAAGAACCUUACCACCCCUUGACAUCCUCAGAAUUUGUCAGAGAUGACUUAGUGCCUUCGGGAACUGAGAGACAGGCGCUGCAUGGCUGUCGUCAGCUCGUGUUGUGAAAUGUUGGGUUAAGUCCCGUAACGAGCGCAACCCUUAUCCCUAGUUGCUAGCGGUUCGGCCGAGAACUCUAGGGAGACUGCCGGUGACAAACCGGAGGAAGGUGGGGACGACGUCAAGUCAGCAUGCCCCUUACGCUCUGGGCUACACACGUGCUACAAUGGUCGUGACAAAGAGUUGCUAGUCUGCGAAGGCAAGCCAAUCUCAUAAACGCGGCCUUAGUUCGGAUUGC
rnacentral:rRNA from 1 species